GACGAACGCUGGCGGCGUGCCUAAUACAUGCAAGUCGAGCGAUGAAGGAGAUACUUGUAUCCUUUGAAGAGCGGCGAACGGGUGAGUAACGCGUGGGGAAUCUGCCAAUGAGUGGGGGACAACAUUUGGAAACGAAUGCUAACACAGCAUAAAAUCUAGUGAGACAUCUCAAGAGAUUGAAAGGAACAAUUGUUUCGCUCGUUGGUGAUCCCGCGUUGUAUUAGCUAGUUGGUGAGGUAAGGGCUCACCAAGGCGAUGAUACAUAGCCGACCUGAGAGGGUGAUCGGCCACAUUGGGACUGAGACACGGCCCAAACUCCUACGGGAGGCAGCAGUAGGGAAUCUUCGGCAAGGGACGAAAGUCUGACCGAGCAACGCCGCGUGAGUGAAGAAGGUUUUCGGAUCGUAAAGCUCUGUUGUUGUUAAAGAACGUUGAUGAGAGUGGAAAGUUCAUCAAGUGACGGUAAACAACCAGAAAGGGACGGCUAACUACGUGCCAGCCGCCGCCGUAA
rnacentral:rRNA from 1 species